AUUGAACGCUGGCGGCAGGCCUAACACAUGCAAGUCGAGCGAGCGGCGGACGGGUGAGUAAUGUAUGGGGACUGCCCGAUAGAGGGGGAUAACUACUGGAAACGGUGGCUAAUACCGCAUACUGUCGGAUAACCCAUAUGGGAUUAGCUAGUAGGUAAGGUAAUGGCUUACCUAGGCGACGAUCCCUAGCUGGUCUGAGAGGAUGAUCAGCCACACUGGGACUGGAACACAGCGCAGACUCCUACGGAGGCAGCAGUGGGGAAUAUUGCACAAUGGGCGCAAGCCUGAUGCAGCCAUGCCGCUGGGGGGAUGAAGGCUGUCGAGUUGUAAACCUCUUUCGCUAUCGAACGGGUAGGUGGAGAAGAAGCGCCGGCUAACUACGUGCCAGCAGCCGCGGUAAUUC
rnacentral:rRNA from 1 species